UUAUAAUAAAUUACGAUUUAUUUGAGUGAACUGAUUUGAUAUGAUGUAAAUGUAGCAUGUGUAAAAUCAUGAAGAAACGUUAUUUACUUUUAUAAGCAUACAUUUAAGCAACAGGUUUUGCGCAUUGAUAAAUUCACUCUGGAGUGAUUGCCAUGUUAGCGAGCUAGCUGACAUAGCUAAUUAGCUAACAUUAAUCAGGUAGCUGCAGCAGCACUUGCCAGGUUAAAGGCCUGGUUAGUCUGUUUCAUGUGAAGGACUUUUAAAACUGUAUUUGGUGAAGAUUAUGCAUAAAGUUAGUGGUGAAAGUCAGUUUUUGACCGGAAAGCGGAUAAUUUAAUGACACAGGCAAUUUCAAUAGUUACCAAUCAAUACCCAGUCUAUCAAUUUAGGAAAUAAUGAACAUUUUUACUUUUAGUUUGUGACUUUUGUGGGAAUUAUUAUUGCUACUCUAAGACUGCAAUUUCCCUAUUGGGAUACAUGAAGUAUCUAUCUAUCUAUCUAUCUAUCUAUCUAUCUAUCUAUCUAUCUAUCUAUCUAUCUAUCUAUCUAUCUAUCUAAUUUCCAACUUAGUAGGCACAAACCAAACCAAAGCUAAUAAUUACUAUUAGUAUUUAGCUUUGGUGGGUUUUCAAUAAAUUACCCCAGUGUGCGAUUGCAUUUCUGUACAAUUCUUAUUAAUAAUAUCCUGUCAUGUUGUUAGGUAGAGGGGUGUUUGCCAAGGCCCAUUUCCAAAAAGGUGACUUUGUGGUGGAGUACAGAGGGAAAUGAAUACAUUCUGAAGAAUCACAAAGGAGGAGAAGGAUAUAUCAUGACAGCUGCGCUGUCUUCAUGUUUGACUUCUAUUAGCAAGAAAGGACAUGGUGUGUUGAUACAGCACAAGCAGAUGUCAGUCUAGGAAGAUUGGUCAAUGAUGACCACAACCUUCCAAACUGCAAGAUGAAGAAGAUCAUGGCAAAGGACGCACCUCUAUCUCUUUGCUCUGAAGGACAUUAAUCCUGGAGAAGAAUUAACGUACGACUAUGGAGGAACUGACUAGACCUUUUUUCUGCCUUGGAGAAAAAAGCUCGGCAGCCUUUCAAGAAAAAGAUAUGGGAGAAGAAGGAGAUCCAUGCUGUUGAAAAGCACAUGAUGUCCUUCAUCACUACAUGUCGCGUUCCAAGGAAAAGCGACUGCGAUAAGUGUCUUGCACUCGAAGGAGAAACACUCAAACGCAGAAAUUGGUUGGCCAUAAAAUUCUACAUUAAGAAUCGAAUUACAGCUCUCAAGAGCAAAGUUUAAAGUGAUCAUUAAUGUCUGUCGACACCUGUUCAAUUUGUUGUGUCACAACAUGUCAGAAUUAGUUUAUCGUUUGCAACGAAACAUUUUUUUUGAAAGCGUAGUGCUUGUAAAUGUUAAAUGUUUGAUGCUAGCAUCAAUAUGUCGUCAAUCCUCCCUUAUCUCUUCUCUCAACCUUAAUUGAUUCCCUCUCUUAUUAUCUGAUCAUUUUAUACAAUUUCACGUGAUCUUAUCUUACCUCAUUUCAUCUCCUCCCACUUUAUCUCUUCUCACCGUAUCUCUCAUCUUCUCUUCUCUAUUCUUAUUCAAUGUCAUCUAUUUUAUGUAAUCUUAAUUUAUUCUAAAUUCACCUCAUCUUCUCUCCUAUAAUCUCUCAUUUUAUCUCAUCUUUUCUUGUCUUAAUUUAUUUUUAUUUAAUCUUACACCUUAUCGCCUCUAAUAUUCCUUCAUCAUAUUCUAUCUCAAAUUAUCCAAUCUCAUCUCUCCUUCUUUUAUCUACCUUCUUCUUAAGUCAUGUCAUUGACCUUUCAUCUCCUGACCUUACCUAAUACAACCUUUGUCACAUCUUCUCUGAUUCCCCCCCCCCCCCAUCUACUCUAAACUGAUGGAGUUGCAAUUCAAUUGCAACAUUUAACAUUCAAAAAACAUUAAAAUAAAAGUUUUGAACAUUAAA